AAAAAAAAAAAAUCGCAGUCGCCUAAAGUCCCCGGGAAAUUGCUACUGUUGGGGGAAAACGAAACAUUUCUUGCAAACAAGAAAAUGAACUACAGCCUACGUGGAAGAUGCUGGCAGGUUGCAACCUCAGCAGCUGAACGGUGACACUAAACCAAACAUUUGCGAGAAAAUCACCAGCCCUGCUGUAUGGUGAGGUUUGUCUAACAACACUUACCUUGCUUUUCCAAGGGCGGGCCACAAGCGCUGGCAGUGGAGGGUAAUGGGCUUAUGAUGGUGCAGCAAUUUGGGAGUGGGGGGUCUGUGAAUGGAACAAAGUUAAACUUCCCGUAAACAGUAAUUGGAGGAACUUUAUCAGUUCAAUUAGACAUAAUAACUCGUGUGUAAGAGAGAGGGAGAGGGAGAGAAAGAGGCAACAGAUAUACAUGCACACAGACACAUGCGCUGCACUUACACAUUCACAACUCUUAGUGCCAAGACGCUCAGGAAGUUGUGGAAUAAUUUGGUUGUUAACUAUACCCAGUUUUUUUAAGGCAAAAAAAAAAAUAUAUUGAACUUUCUAUCAGACGAGUUACAGAGGGAAAUGCAGAUUCUUCAGUGUGUAUCAAUUUCUUUGGGGGUGACAGGCUAUUUCAGAGAGCCAGAACCUGUAAUUUUAUUAAGUGUAACAUUUCCAAACAUAGUAUGUAAAAUCGAUGACUGUACAGACUCCAUCUCCAAAGAUUCAGCACAUGAACGCUAAGCCAACUCUUCCCGGCAGUUUUAAACCAAGUCCCAUAAUUAGAUAACCAUCACUCCUGAACUUUCCAUCAGCUAAGAAUGUUUUCUGUUUCAACAGGGUGCACCGUUUGGUGCCCUUCUUUGUUGUAUAAUUUCACUGCUCAUUUUAUUCCCACCACACGAAAACUUCCAACAGUUUCCCAAGAAACCCCUCCCGCCAGCCAGGUCCGAGCGGAGGCAGCGGGCUGGGCUGAUAAAAGGACCAUUGAAAUUAUCUGUUAGUUAUGGGAAUAGCCCUGGAGGAUCUGUGAGGAAGUUGAUUAAACUUGGAACAGCCGCCUCUUAGAAGCCAGCGCGUUUCGGGCUUUAACCUCCUUCUCUCCCCAGCAGCGUGUUUAUGUUUCGCCACUUGUUCACUGCAAACAAGGGAGGGAGAAGCGUGCCCCGAGCCCCCGUGGGCGUGGGUAGCUGCUCUCCGAGACUCACUUGUUAGCCCUGCUUGGUGGCUUUGCAGGGGGGGCAAACCCGCGGUGCGAGCCGCCCCAUCCCCGCCCGCUGGCCGCCCCCAGCCCUCCCAGCGGCGCCGGGCAGCCGGGGGGUCCCCACGCCCGCCGAGUGUCCCCCCCCACGCGGGCGGGGCUGGGUAGCACCGAGCAGGGGCCUUCCGCGGCGGCGAGGUAGCGGCCGCCCCGCCAGCCGAGGAGCUGUCGGGGAAGGGGACGGCGGGGGGCCGGGCUCCCGGCUGCGGGGGCGGGGGGGAGCGUGGGGAGCCUCACCUGCCCGGCGCCCCGCCGGGGCAGCCCACGCCGCGCGGGAGGCGCGGGGCUGCGGGCGCAGCGCGGCGGCACCGCCCGGGAGCGGGCGCGGGGAGCGCGGCGGCCGCCUCCGCUGCCCCCCGUCCCCGGGAGAAACCUCUGCCUCCUCCCUGACGGCCCGGGGGCACCCCAUCGAAACGCAAAAAGGGUGAGAAAAGUACGUCGUUUUUUCCCGGCGAGGAACAAAGAAUAAACAGUUUUCAUUGAGGCUGGGCUAGAUGAAUAUGCAUCUGACAAGUUUGUUUAGAAACACCACUGCCCACGACCGAAAACGAUACUCCACUUCUAUAAAAUACAAAGUGUUGUCAAUAACCAUUAUAACAGCAAUAAUAAGCUGAGAAGAGAACAAAGACGUUUUGUAAUAUCUACAUAACUUUAUUAAAGCAAAAUUAUUUUAAAA